CGCUUUCACUCCUACGGGAGGCAGCAGUGGGGAAUAUUGCACAAUGGGCGCAAGCCUGAUGCAGCCAUGCCGCGUGUAUGAAGAAGGCCUUCGGGUUGUAAAGUACUUUCAGCAGUGAGGAAGGCGGAGUCGUUAAUAGCGGCCUCGUUUGACGUUAGCUGCAGAAGAAGCACCGGCUAACUCCGUGCCAGCAGCCGCGGUAAUACGGAGGGUGCGAGCGUUAAUCGGAAUUACUGGGCGUAAAGCGCAUGCAGGUGGUUUGUUAAGUCAGAUGUGAAAGCCCGGGGCUCAACCUCGGAAUUGCAUUUGAAACUGGCAGACUAGAGUACUGUAGAGGGGGUAGAAUUUCAGGUGUAGCGGUGAAAAUGCGUAGAGAUCUGAAGGAAUACCGGUGGCGAAGGCGGCCCCCUGGACAGAUACUGACACUCAGAUGCGAAAGCGUGGGGAGCAAACAGGAUUAGAUACCCUGGUAG
rnacentral:rRNA from 1 species